AAUUAAAAAAUGAGAGACUCUGAGUGUCAUCAGCUUUGCUCCAUGUGGCUGCCUUGAUAAGAGUUCACUUUUCUCUGUGUCUUGAGAAAAUUUUUAUGAUUAAUGGAAGACAGAAUAUUAUCCAGUAUUAACAGUUAUUUUCCAAUUCUGUAUUAUAAAAUUAUUUCUGAUAAUGAAAAAUUCUCUAUUUCUUUAAAUUAUUUAAAACAUUGAAAGUCUACAGUGUAUAAAAGAAAGCACUGGAGUUCUGGAGAUGUGAGGCAGAAUACGAAGGUAAACAGGAAUCGUUAUUCCUUUUCUGAGAGGUAUGUAAUCUACAGGGGAAGCAGGCAGCACCUGAAAGGGGAGGAGAGGUUGGUGGGCCAUGCAGGGUUGAAGGAGGAGCAUAGGAACAUGGGUCUGGGAAAGUUUGGCUAUCUUUACAGUGCUCAAUUGAAAUACUACUUUGGAAUAUUUUCUCAACACCAGGGUUCUAGUUUGUUAGUCCUACUGAGACAUCAGGUCAGAAGAAAAGAACAAAAGUGAGAAGGCAUUCAUGGCUUUGCAUUCUCAGAAAGACAUCCUGCUGGUUCAACUGUGUAUGAUUGAGCAUAUUGUCAUUGAUGAAGAAUUUUUAUUUAUUUUUGAUCAAAGACUUCACCAUGUUUUCCUGAACUUUUCAAUCUCCUGUUUGCAGAGUUUUAACGUGAGCUCUCCUCGGGCCUGGGAGAAAUUCUGAGAAUGACCCCUGAGAAUGAGCUCAGUGGUGAGAAGUCCAAGGACAGGAUGAGGUCGACAUUGCAAGUGUUUUUGGAAUAAGAAUCAACACACUUAAAGACUGGGAUUUGGAAGUGAGAAGGAGUACAUUGAAGUGAUUCAGGAAAACAAGGAAAUGUGACACAAGUGGCAACAUUUGUCAAAGUUCUAUGCAUUUGUUCCUUUGGAUUCAAGUGAAACAUCUGGAGUCAAUUCUUAACCCAAUGUUGGUUUGUUGUCACCAACCUCUUUGCCCUGCUAUUGAGGGAAGAAAGAUAGAGGGCUGUCACCAGAAGCAAGGAACAGAGGAAGUAAAUUUCCAAAGGAUCUGGUAGAAGAAUUGGUCUAACUGUGUUCCUCAUGAGAAAAGUAUUCUGUUGGAGGACAUGUAAUAAAACAGCAGUCACAAGAUUUGAUUUAUUCACAGCUCUGAAAACUCUGGAAGACCAUGGGGAAGUUCCCUAACCUCCUUUGGGUAUUUCAUCUGAGCUGUUGGAGUUGCAUUACCUAAUCUCUCUGGUUCCUUGAAGCUGCCACAUUCAGUGAUUCUGUCUGUAUUCAAUGAUAGAUACAACA